rnacentral:rRNA from 1 species
AAUCAACGCUGGCGGCGUGCCUAACACAUGCAAGUCGAACGGGAAACGGGGGCAACUCCGUGAGUAUAGUGGCGUACGGGUGAGUAACACGUGACUACCUACCUUUGAGUGGGGGAUAACCCCGGGAAACCGGGGCUAAUACCGCAUAACAUCGCAAGAUCAAAGAAGCAAUUCGCUUAAAGAGGGGGUCGCGGCUGAUUAGCUAGUUGGUAGGGUAAUGGCCUACCAAGGCGAUGAUCGGUAGCCGGCCUGAGAGGGCGCACGGCCACACUGGAACUGAAACACGGUCCAGACUCCUACGGGAGGCAGCAGUGGGGAAUUUUGCGCAAUGGGGGAAACCCUGACGCAGCAACGCCGCGUGGAGGAUGAAGUCCCUUGGGACGUAAACUCCUUUCGACCGGGAC